UUUGAAAUCUGGCGUCUUCGGCGUCCGAGUUGUAAUUUGUAGAGGAUGCUAUUGAGUUGUCACCGGUCUAAGUUCCUUGGAACAGGACGUCAUAGAGGGUGAGAAUCCCGUAUGUGACCGGCCAGACGCUCUCUGUAUAGCUCCUUCGACGAGUCGGGUUGUUUGGGAAUGCAGCCCUAAAUGGGAGGUAAAUUUCUUCUAAAGCUAAAUACCGGCCAGAGACCGAUAGCGCACAAGUAGAGUGAUCGAAAGAUGAAAAGCACUUUGGAAAGAGAGUUAAAAAGCACGUGAAAUUGUUGAAAGGGAAGCGCUUGCAAUCAGUCUCGACGGCGGCUGUUCGGCCUCUCUUCUGAGUGGUUUAUUCAGUCGCCGCCGGGCCAGCAUCAGUUCUGGCGGUCGGAUAAAGACGCGGGGAAUGUAGCUCCUCUCGGGGAGUGUUAUAGCCUCGCGUGCAAUACGGCCUGCCGGGACUGAGGUCCGCGCUUCGGCUAGGAUGCUGGCGAAAUGGUUGUAAGCGGCCCGUCUUGAAACACGGACCAAGGAGUCUAACAUCUAUGCGAGUGUUUGGGUGUCAAACCCGUACGCGUAAUGAAAGUGAACGGAGGUGGGAACCGCAAGGUGCACCAUCGACCGAUCCUGAUGUCUUCGGAUGGAUUUGAGUAAGAGCAUAGCUGU
rnacentral:rRNA from 1 species